rnacentral:rRNA from 1 species
AACGUAGGUGGCGAGCGUUAUCCGGAUUUACUGGGCGUAAAGCGUGCGCAGGCGGUUCGUUAAGUUCGUUGUGAAAGCCCCGGGCUCAACCUGGGAACUGCAAUGGAAACUGGCGGGCUUGAGUGUGGCAGAGGGGGGUGGAAUUCCGCGUGUAGCAGUGAAAUGCGUAGAGAUGCGGAGGAACACCGAUGGCGAAGGCAGCCCCCUGGGCCAACACUGACGCUCAGGCACGAAAGCGUGGGGAGCAAACAGG